rnacentral:tRNA from 1 species
GGAGAAAUGGCUGAGUGGCUGAAAGCGUGGGCUUGCUAAGCCUAUUUUCUGUCAAGAAACGUAGGUUCGAAUCCUAUUUUCUCCG